GAGUUUGAUCCUGGCUCAGAUUGAACGCUGGCGGCAGGCCUAACACAUGCAAGUCGAGCGGAUGACGGGAGCUUGCUCCUUGAUUCAGCGGCGGACGGGUGAGUAAUGCCUAGGAAUCUGCCUGGUAGUGGGGGACAACGUUUCGAAAGGAACGCUAAUACCGCAUACGUCCUACGGGAGAAAGCAGGGGACCUUCGGGCCUUGCGCUAUCAGAUGAGCCUAGGUCGGAUUAGCUAGUUGGUGGGGUAAUGGCUCACCAAGGCGACGAUCCGUAACUGGUCUGAGAGGAUGAUCAGUCACACUGGAACUGAGACACGGUCCAGACUCCUACGGGAGGCAGCAGUGGGGAAUAUUGGACAAUGGGCGAAAGCCUGAUCCAGCCAUGCCGCGUGUGUGAAGAAGGUCUUCGGAUUGUAAAGCACUUUAAGUUGGGAGGAAGGGCAGUAAGUUAAUACCUUGCUGUUUUGACGUUACCGACAGAAUAAGCACCGGCUAACUCUGUG
rnacentral:rRNA from 1 species